rnacentral:misc_RNA from 1 species
UACAGAGACCUCAAGCGUUAUCCGGAAUCACUGGGCGUAAAGCGUACCGAUAGGCGGUUUGGUAAGUCUUUGGUGAAAGCCCCGAGCUUAACUCGGAAAUUGCCAAAGAAACUAUCAGACUAGAGGGGCAAAGAGGGAACUGGAACUCUGGGUGUAGCGGUGAAAUGCGUUGAUAUCCAGAGGAACACUCAAAGCGAAGGCAAGUUCCUGGGUGCCUCCUGACGCUGCUAGGACGAAAGCGUGGGUAGCGAAUGGG